UACGUAGGGUACGAGCAUUAAUCGGAAUUAUUGGGCGUAAAGGGCGCGUAGGCGGGAGCAUAAGUCAGAUGUGAAAUACCAAAGCUCAACUUUGGUGCUGCAUUUGAAACUAUGUUUCUUGAGGAUUGACGGAGAAAGCGGAAUUCCACGAGUAGCGGUGAAAUGCGUAGAUACGUGGAGGAACACCAGUGGCGAAAGCGGCUUUCUAGUUUUUACCUGACGCUGAGGCGCGAGAGCAAGGGGAGCAAACAGG
rnacentral:rRNA from 1 species